GACGAACGCUGGCGGCGUGCUUAACACAUGCAAGUCGAGCGAGCGGCGGACGGGUGAGUAAUGUCUGGGAAACUGCCUGAUGGAGGGGGAUAACUACUGGAAACGGUAGCUAAUACCGCAUACCAUCAGAUGUGCCCCGAUGUGAUUAGCUGGUAGGUGGGGUAACUGCUAACCUAGGAGACGCACCCUAGCUGGUCUGAGAGGAUGACCAGGCACACUGGAACUGAGAAACGGUCCAGACUCCGACGGGAGGCAGCAGUGGGUAAUAUUGCACAAUGGGCGCAAGCCUGAUGCAGCCAUGCCGCGGGUGUGAAGAAGGCCUUCGGGUUGUAAAGCACUUUCAGCUGGGAGGCGGUACCCGCAGAAGAAGCACCGGCUAACUCCGUGCCAGCAGCCGCGGUAAUAC
rnacentral:rRNA from 1 species